rnacentral:rRNA from 1 species
GACCGGUGCCAGCCGCCGCGGUACACCGGCAGCUCUAGUGGUAGCAGUUUUUAUUGGGCCUAAAGCGUCCGUAGCCGGUUUAAUAAGUCUCUGGUGAAAUCCUGUAGCUUAACUGUGGGAAUUGCUGGAGAUACUAUUAGACUUGAGACCGGGAGAGGUUAGAGGUACUCCCAGGGUAGAGGUGAAAUUCUGUAAUCCUGGGAGGACCGCCUGUUGCGAAGGCGUCUAACUGGAACGGUUCUGACGGUGAGGGACGAAAGUUAGGGGCGCGAACCGGAUUAGAUACCCGGGUAGUCCUAACUGUAAACGAUGCGGACUUGGUGUUGGGGUGGCUUUGAGCUGCUCCAGUGCCGAAGGGAAGCUGUUAAGUCCGCCGCCUGGGAAGUACGG